AACGAACGCUGGCGGCAGGCCUAACACAUGCAAGUCGAACGCUCUAGCAAGUAGAGAGUGGCAGACGGGUGAGUAACGCGUGGGAACCUUCCCUGUGGUGCGGAAUAACUCGCCGAAAGGCGUGCUAAUACCGCAUAAGCCCGCAAGGGGAAAGAUUUAUCGCCAUAGGAUGGGCCCGCGUAGGAUUAGCUAGUUGGUGAGGUAAUGGCUCACCAAGGCGACGAUCCAGCUGGUUUGAGAGAAUGACCAGCCACACUGGGACUGAGACACGGCCCAGACUCCUACGGGAGGCAGCAGUGGGGAAUCUUGGACAAUGGGCGCAAGCCUGAUCCAGCCAUGCCGCGUGAGUGACGAAGGCCUU
rnacentral:rRNA from 1 species